GGGUGUGAGGACUGACCUGAAGGACCUUCCCUCCAUGAUGGUCACGGUGGAACCCAUCCUGAUAACACGGAUGCUCCUCCCCAGGCUGGCUUGGGCAACGAAAGCCACUGCCCCGCCACGGGAGUGAGAGGAACUGACCUGAACAUCGCCUUCCUGCUUGCUGUAGGGAAAGCCUCUGCUGCUGGCCCUGCUGGAGAAAGUCUACCGUCUACGUCAUUGUGCACCAGUACCCAAGACGGCCAGGCAGCUGGGAGCACAAGCCACCACAGUGUGAAAGGAAGUCUGCACCCACGCGGUCAUUCUCCAAAAUGGCGCAUCGAGUCGGUUGUUCCCUGAAUCCCCUGCAAAGCCUUCUCUCUGUGAUGGCCACGGUGGAAUCUAACAUGAUGGCACAGCCGCUGGCGAGUGUUGGAGUCUGACUACUCUGUACAAGGUUGUGCACAACUAUAGCGACGGAAUGGAUCACAUUAUACACUUGGGUGCCGAUGAACACUGCUAUUACCCGACAUACUGGCCCGUCUCGU